CCACUUUAUGAAUGCUCUUCCCACUGUCAUUUUCCAGACUUAUGCUGACCAAACAAGCCUUGCUGACUCCAACAUUCGAAACACAUGGGAGCUCACUGAUAUUGCUAAUCCAAGUAGUCUUUUCCGCCUCAUGAAGAAAAUGGCAUGACCAUAAGACAUGGGAUAGCUGGAUCUACUUAACUGGUAGUACUAGUUAACACGUCCAUAUUGACAUGGGAUCUACCAGAGAAGAAAAUGGCAUGACCAUAAGAACGUCUUGCAAGCGUCAUUGUUUCAUGACACUUGGGGGACUCAUGAGGCACAAUGGAGUACUUGGAUAGGCGAGAUCAAUAAGCUCCCAUGUGUUCCGAAUGUUGGAGUCAAUAGGGGUUGCAUAAUUCCGGAAAAUGAUAGGUUGGAAGAACACGCCUAAGGUGGA